CGGAAUCCGCGCAGUGGGUAGCAACAAUCUGCAUACUGAGAACAGCUUGGCGAGGCUGAGUAAAGUCCCAAAAUGGAGACCAGGGCUUUGGAAGGUGGGGGAGACUUUGAAGUUUUAAAGAAUGUUCCCCAGGGAUACACCUAAAUCCAAACAAAACACACAAUGAUAAACCCAGCGAGCUUUAGAAAAUGCAGGAGCCACGUGAGGCGGUGUUCCUAAUGCAGAUAUUUUGACUCACAAUUGAAGUUACAACCUUAUAAACCAUUUAAAACCAUCUUAAGGACUGGCGAGACGGCUCAGUGGAUAAAUGUCCUUGUUGCUAACCCUGGACGUCCUGAGUUCAAUUCCUGGGUCUAACAGGGUGGAAGAUGAGAACUGACCCUCGAAAACUGUCCUCCGGCCUGUGGGUCCACAUGUACGCCGCGGCUCACGUAUGAGCACAAAUGUGUUCACAACAAAUAGGUCUUCCUGCCUCAGAGACUUUGAAUUUAGGGUGGUGGGGGCUCGGAAUGCUGUUUCCCGGGUAGUCUGUGGGGAAACCCAUCCCAUCAGAGAUCUUUCAGUCAGUGUGUCAUCUCUCUGGAAGAACUCCUGUUACCAUCUUUGGCUCAGCCUCUCCAAGGCCCCCAACGCAGCCUCUUGUUUGUCACCCACAACAGCACAUCACUAACCGUAAGAACUUUGUAAAAAGAUUUAACUUCUAGUGCCUUGAGUUUUAACUUUGCCAUGAUGAUAAUGGAAUGAUGCUCUGAAACUAUAAGCCACCCCAAUUAAAUGCCUUCCUUUAUAAGAGUUGCCUCUUUUCACAGCAAAGGAAACCCUAAUGAAGACAAAAUUUGGUACCAGGAGUGGGGUAUUGCUGUGCGAGGCCUGACGAUGCUUUUGUUUGGAGGAAUGUGGAUUUGGGAACUUUGGAUUAGGAAAGCAGUUGAACUUUUUAAGUGGGGCUUAAUGCACCAUCCUAGAAGGAGCAUGGAAGACAGGUGCGCUGAGAAUGAUUUGAAUUUGGGGGCCUGGCUCAAGAGGUUUCAGAGAAGAAUUUUAGUAUGUGGUCUAGAGACUGUUAUUAUGAUAUCUUGUCAAAGAAUAUAGCUGCCUUUUCUCCUUUUCUGAAAAGUCUGCCUGAGGCUAAACUGAAGAGUUUUGGUUAGUUAAGUUGGCAGAGGAAAUUUCAAAACAUCCUAGUCUUGACUCUGUCCUGUGGUUAUUACUGUUCACUCUUAUGAAGAUCUGUAAUGAAAAAGAGCAAGCUGAGCAAAGACAGCUACAAAAUGUGCAGUAUGUGGGGAAGAGAGGAACCAGGAAGUGGAACGAAGUGAAGUCCUACGCUUAAGGAGAUAAACAGAGUAAAGAAAAACCUGAUGUUAAAUGAAAUAAAGGCAAGGCCCCACCCAACUAUGCUUCCAACCUGCAAAAAGGAACUAAAGAGCUAGUUUCAGAACAGCCAAGUUUAGGCAGCAAAGGAAACCAUUGAAAACAGAAAGUUGGAGAAGAUGUAAUUGAAUGAAGGGGUUGGGGCAUGUUCCAGCCCCAGCAAGCAGCAGAACUUGCCAGCUUCAGCCACAUGGUUCUGGCUUUAGAAUCAAGGAUAGAAGAAGUGGUUAUAGAAUCUCUGUGACUAAGGAAAGCCUCUGAGGCCAGGCACAUGUCAGGGGUGGCCUGUCAUGGAGGCCCAGAGAGGCCACUGUGUGAAGCUGUAAAGAUGAAGCCUGGAUUGCCUUGGAGACCCCAAGAUAUUGGAGAUGCCAGAGUCAUGUGAUACCUGCCAAGGAGAGCUGCUAACAGGGUAUGGAACCAGCCUAAGAGAGAGACGCAUGUUGCAGUCAACAAAGCUGAAAGGAGUUGGGGAUCUGAAGACAUCAGACAUGGAGAUGCAGAUUUUGGAGUGUGCCCAGCUGGUUUUCAGUCUUGCUUUGGUCCAGUGUUUCCUCACAGUGCUCCCUCCUCCAUUUGGAAUAAUGAUGUGAAUCCUGUGCUGUUAUAUAUUGGAAGUAUGUGACUAUGGUUUAGAUUUUAUAGGGGAUUACAGUUAGAAGAUUGCAUGAGACUCAGAAGAAACUUUGAACUUUCACAGGGUUGAGACUGUUACAGACUAUGGGGACUUCUGCAGUUGGACUAAACACAUUUUGCAUUAUAAUAUGGAUACACACACAUGCACAGACACACACAUGCACAGACACACACAUACACAGACACACACACACAUAUAUAUAUAUGUACAUAUAUAUACAUAUGUAUAACCUAUAUAUCAGGAAGUGUAAUGUAGUAGUUUGAAUAAAACUGGCCCCCAUAGGCACAUAGUGACACUAUUAGGAGGUGUGGCCUUGUUGGAGGAAGCAUGUCUCAGUUUCUCCUUGCUGCCUGCUGAUCUGGAUGUUGAACUCUCAGCUCCUUCUCCAGCACCAUGUCUGCCUGUUCACUGAUCUGUUCCCCGCCAUGACGAUAUUGGACUAAACCCCUGAAACAGCAAGCCAGCCCCAAUGAAAUGUUCUCCUUUAUAAGAGUUGCCAUGGUUACAGU
rnacentral:lncRNA from 1 species